GGUGGAAACGACCUUUUCAACGGGGACUCCGCCGACGAUAUAGCCACGCGAAUAAAGGAUUUCAUUGUCGGGCUCAUGAAGUCAACACGGCACGUGCUGGUGUACAAGAUUAUACCGAGAGGUGGGCUUGUCGGGGCAGCCAGAGAGAGAGAAAGGCUUGUGCUAAACCGCCUUCUGGUACAAAAGCUGGCUGCCCUCAACGUCACCAUCUUGACUGUUGAUCACCUGUUUCUCAGCAAGGGCAACCAGGUAAACCUCUGCAAACUUGCUGUGGACCUCUACCAUGUUUGUCGAGUCCGCGGGAUUCAGUGUCUGUCCUUUGUUUUAUGCAAGGCUUUAGAAAAAAUUUUUGGAAACGUCCGUUGUAGGGCUUGUGCACCUUUUAUUGUUUUUAAGGUGCACUGCUGCAGCCGGUGUAAAGCAAAGGGCCACCAGGUGGGUGCCUGUGUCCCCAUUGCCUGGCUGCAGCAGUAGAUAGCGCCCCAUAUUUUUCUCUACAGAAGACGACACAGUUAGCGCAAGCACAACAUCCAUUUUUUGUUUUCGGUGUUCUUUUCACAAGUGAAAGUUGUAAACAAACAAAUCCAGAGAUCCUGGGUUUACUCCCCACCCCUGCCUGUUUCAAUCUGUAUGAGCAUCGUACCGCAACAUGCGGUCGUGU